AGAUGGGCUUACUGACCAUUAGCUAGUUGGUGAGAUAAGAGCUCACCAAGGCGAAGAUGGUUAGGGGUUUUGAGAGAGAGAUCCCCCACAUUGGAACUGAGAUACGGUCCAGACUCCUACGGGAGGCAGCAGUAGGGAAUAUUGGGCAAUGGGCGGAAGCCUGACCCAGCCAUGCCGCGUGAAGGAAGACGGCCUUAUGGGUUGUAAACUUCUUUACUAUGCGACUAACUAGAUUUACGAGAUAAUUCUAUAGAAUGUAGCAUAGCAAAAAGCACCGGCUAACUCCGUGCCAGCAGCCGCGGUAAUACGGAGGGUGCGAGCGUUAUUCGGAAUUACUGGGUUUAAAGGGUGCGUAGGCGGCUAAGUAAGUUGUCAUUGAAAGGCUACAGCUCAACUGUAGUAGUGGUGGCGAUACUGCUUAGCUAAGAACAUGGGAGGGGUACUUGGAAUGUGUGGUGUAGCGGUGAAAUGCGUAGAUAUCACACAGAACACCAGAGGCGAAGGCGGAGUACUAGACCAUAGUUGACGCUGAGGCACGAAAGCGUGGGGAUCAAACAGGAUUAGAUACCCUGGUAGUCCACGCCCUAAACGAUGAUCACUAGAUAUUGGCGACAAACAGUCAGUGUCCAAGCGAAAGUGAUAAGUGAUCCACCUGGG
rnacentral:rRNA from 1 species